AUUGAACGCUGGCGGCAGGCCUAACACAUGCAAGUCGAGCGGAUGAAGGGAGCUUGCUCCUGGAUUCAGCGGCGGACGGGUGAGUAAUGCCUAGGAAUCUGCCCGGUAGUGGGGGAUAACGUCCGGAAACGGGCGCUAAUACCGCAUACGUCCUGAGGGAGAAAGUGGGGGAUCUUCGGACCUCACGCUAUCAGAUGAGCCUAGGUCGGAUUAGCUAGUUGGUGGGGUAAAGGCCUACCAAGGCGACGAUCCGUAACUGGUCUGAGAGGAUGAUCAGUCACACUGGAACUGAGACACGGUCCAGACUCCUACGGGAGGCAGCAGUGGGGAAUAUUGGACAAUGGGCGAAAGCCUGAUCCAGCCAUGCCGUGUGUGUGAAGAAGGUCUUCGGAUUGUAAAGCACUUUAAGUUGGGAGGAAGGGCAGUAAGUUAAUACCUUGCUGUUUUGACGUUACCAACAGAAUAAGCACCGGCUAACUUCGUG
rnacentral:rRNA from 1 species